rnacentral:rRNA from 1 species
UACGUAGGGUGCAAGCGUUGUCCGGAAUUAUUGGGCGUAAAGAGCUCGUAGGCGGUCUGUUGCGUCCGCUGUGAAAACUCGGGGCUUAACCCCGGACGCUGCAGUGGAUACGGGCAGACUAGAGGUAGGUAGGGGAGAAUGGAAUUCCCGGUGUAGCGGUGAAAUGCGCAGAUAUCGGGAGGAACACCGGUGGCGAAGGCGGUUCUCUGGGCCUUACCUGACGCUGAGGAGCGAAAGCGUGGGGAGCGAACAGG